rnacentral:rRNA from 1 species
GACGAACGCUGGCGGCGUGCCUAAUACAUGCAAGUCGAGCGGACUUUCAAGAAGCUUGCUUUUUGAAAGUUAGCGGCGGACGGGUGAGUAACACGUGGGCAACCUGCCUGCAAGACGGGGAUAACUCCGGGAAACCGGGGCUAAUACCGGAUAAUAUCUUCCUUCGCAUGAAGGAAGGUUGAAAGGCGGCGCACGCUGCCGCUUGCAGAUGGGCCCGCGGCGCAUUAGCUAGUUGGUGAGGUAACGGCUCACCAAGGCGACGAUGCGUAGCCGACCUGAGAGGGUGAUCGGCCACACUGGGACUGAGACACGGCCCAGACCCCUACGGGAGGCAGCAGUAGGGAAUCUUCCGCAAUGGACGAAAGACUGACGGAGAAACGCCGCGUGAGCGAAGAAGGGCUUCGGAUCGUAAAGCUCUGUUGUCAGGGAAGAACAAGUACCGUUCGAACAGGGCGGUACCUUGACGGUACCUGAACAGAAAGCCACGGCUAACUACGUG